rnacentral:rRNA from 1 species
AGAUUGAACGCUAGCGGGAUGCUUUACACAUGCAAGUCGAACGGCAGCGCGGACUUCGGUCUGGCGGCGAGUGGCGAACGGGUGAGUAAUAUAUCGGAACGUGCCCAGUAGCGGGGGAUAACUACGCGAAAGCGUGGCUAAUACCGCAUACGCCCUACGGGGGAAAGGGGGGAUUCUUCGGAACCUCUCACUAUUGGAGCGGCCGAUAUCAGAUUAGCUAGUUGGUGAGGUAAAGGCUCACCAAAGGCGACGAUCUGUAGCUGGUUUGAGAGGACGACCAGCCACACUGGGACUGAGACACGGCCCAGACUCCUACGGGAGCAGCAGUGGGAAUUUGGACAAGUGGGGGAAACCUGAUCAGCCAUCCCGCGUGUGCGA